UACGUAGGUGGCAAGCGUUGUCCGGAUUUACUGGGCGUAAAGGGCGCGUAGGCGGCCGUUUGCGUCGGAUGUGAAAGCCCGGGGCUCAACCUCGGAACGGCAUUCGAUACGGGACGGCUGGAGACCGGGAGAGGAGAGUGGAAUAGCCAGUGUAGAGGUGAAAUUCGUAGAUAUUGGCUGGAACACCGGUGGCGAAAGCGGCUCUCUGGCCCGGUUCUGACGCUGAGGCGCGAAAGCCAGGGGAGCAAACGGG
rnacentral:rRNA from 1 species